GAAGUGACAUUCAGCAGAGCCUGGCAGAGUCCAGCCGGAUUGUACAAUAACCAGAGUUCACUGUUUUGGAAUGAAACCCAGCCAAGGGCCUACACAAUCACAGAUGAAGAAAGAAAAAGCCGUCUGUGCAUUACAACAGGAGGUACAGUCUGGUUUAUAGCAAUGCCUGAAGGAAUGACAGCACAGGGAACGAUGUGAACACACUCUGAGUAAAUAUUGAUCUGUCUUGUUCCCUAAAAGCGGCCCUGGAUAUACAGCGUCAGUCAACAGGAUCUUCCUUCAGCUCGUCUAGCGGAUGAAACGGCGAGCGUGUGGCGCACAUAUAGGGAUAAUAAUGCUGAUGGAUUCAACACAGUCAAGAAGAAAAACACCAGCUGGGAGUGGAUGUGGUACUAUUGUGACUCACACAAGCACACACACACACACUUUGUGUUUGCGUUCGGAGGAGUGUGUGGGAGUGUUUCUUAAUAGAGGUGAUAUGGAGGGUGUGAUGUGUUUUCUCGAUUUCCAGUCUGCAGUAAGAAAAGUACAUGCAGAGACAUAAGGAUACCUACAGCAGCCAGGGGUGCAACUACAUACUUUUUAAGGUGUAUGCAAACAUACUAUUGCUCCGCAAAACCAGCGAGCUGAUUGGCUGUUUCCCCUGAAAGGCGGAACUUUAUCUUUGAACUGGCUCCGUGAUUCGCGUCAAGAGAAAGCGAAACGAUUCGGGCCUACUGGAAAUUUAUUCGGGACUAGUUCCGGAAGCCCAGGCCAGGCGACAGCUCUUACAGAAUAUGCCGACUAGAAAUCUUUUUCCAGCAUUGAUUUGGCGCCUUCUUUAGUACAGCGACCCUAUGCGUUGCAUACGCUGCAUACCCCCUUUUUGCGCCACUGACAGCAGCACUACCUUCAUAUCCCAGCUAACAAUUUUUGCGCGGUGGAGGUGUUUGGACAGACAGAGUCUGGCCUGGAUUUCUCCCAACUGGAGCACAAACUCAUCCAUCUUCUCCCCUCAGAAUAAACCCGUUCUUCUCAUGUGCUGCUUUGUAUCCCCCACUUUCCUUUCUUUUCUUUCUUCCUCUCUCUCUCUCUCUCCUUCUCUCUCGGCUUCAGUGAAGUCGUUUCCUAUUCAGCCUCGGGAGUCAGAAGCCUGUAAACAGAGCUCGGUUUAAUCCGCCCACUUUUUUCACACGACUCAGCGCUUUGCAUUGCGCAUGCUCACAGCGGGCCUCCCGCGCCUGUGUGUUGUUGUGUUUGAUGUAGCAGACAGGCCGCUCUGCUUUUCUGAGAGCAGAGCUGAAGAGAGAGAAAGAAAGAAGAGAAAGAAAGAAAGAGUUUCCACUAAAAACAAAAGAGACCUGCAUUUUUAAUGAUUUCGUUUGUGCAGUAUGUUUCUGCACUCUGAUAAAAAAGACUGGUAUUGAAAGUGAAAGAGCCUAAG
rnacentral:lncRNA from 1 species